AACGAACGCUGGCGGCAUGCCUAACACAUGCAAGUCGAACGAGACCUUCGGGUCUAGUGGCGCACGGGUGCGUAACGCGUGGGAACCUGCCUUUAGGUUCGGAAUAACUCAGAGAAAUUUGAGCUAAUACCGGAUGAUGUCUUCGGACCAAAGAUUUAUCGCCUUUAGAUGGGCCCGCGUUGGAUUAGCUAGUUGGUGGGGUAAAGGCCUACCAAGGCGACGAUCCAUAGCCGGUCUGAGAGGAUGAUCAGCCACACUGGGACUGAGACACGGCCCAGACUCCUACGGGAGGCAGCAGUGGGGAAUAUUGGACAAUGGGCGAAAGCCUGAUCCAGCAAUGCCGCGUGAGUGAUGAAGGCCUUAGGGUUGUAAAGCUCUUUUACCCGAGAUGAUAAUGACAGUAUCGGGAGAAUAAGCUCCGGCUAACUCCGUG
rnacentral:rRNA from 1 species